rnacentral:misc_RNA from 1 species
CGCAGCCGCGGUAAUUCCAGCUCCAAUAGCGUAUAUUAAAGUUGUUGCAGUUAAAAAGCUCGUAGUUGAAUUUCGGGAUCAAUAUGCUGGUCGUGCCAUUGGUACGUACUAGUAUUAUUGGUUUCUCCUUUCUGAUGAAUCAUGAUGUCAUUAAUUUGAUGUCAUGAGGAAUCAGGACUGUUACUUUGAAAAAAUUAGAGUGUUUAAAGCAGGCUCGCGCUUGAAUACAUUAGCAUGGAAUAAUGAAAUAGGAUGUUUGAUUCUAUUUUGUUGGUUUCUAGGAUUGACGUAAUGAUUAAUAGGGAUAGUUGGGGGCAUUAGUAUUCAAUUGUCAGAGGUGAAAUUCUUGGAUUUAUUGAAGACUAACUACUGCGAAAGCAUUUGCCAAGGAUGUUUUCAUUAAUCAAGAACGAAAGUUAGGGGAUCGAAGACGAUCAGAUACCGUCGUAGUCUUAACCAUAAACUAUGCCGACUAGGGAUCGGAUGAUGUUAAUUUUUUAAUGACUCAUUCGGCGCCUUA